AGUAUUGUUUCUAAAUUUACUUUUCUCUUGAACUUGUUCUGUGAUGAGGUAAGAGAACUAUGAUUACACUAAUUGAAUGUUCGUUUACAAUUUUUUCAUAUUAUUAUAAUGUUGAAAAGAAACAGUACGUGUAUCUUCAUUGCUGUGUUUAUUGGGUUUUCUAGUUCAUUUUGUUGUUCAAUUACAUACAUGGAUCAUUAUAAGUUAGGGUUUCCUGUACUUCUCUUUCAGCGAGUCGUGUCUUCUGGAUCUAUACGACCUCUUUUAUUGUUUGUGUGCUGAUAACAUGAUCUUCAUGACCUCUUUUAUUUAUUGGCUGAUGAUUGGUUGUCUUGUUUUGUACUUGUGCUUUACUAUUAUGAAUUUCACAUAAAAUUUCUGAUUUUUUUGGCAUAAUUGUCAAGUACCUCCUGAUGGUAUUUAAUCAUUUGUUGAGAUUGAUGAGUGGGGGAGGAAAUUUUA
rnacentral:misc_RNA from 1 species